UAUAAAGUAAGCUAAAAAUCUAAGCUAGUGGGUUCAUACCCCAAAUAUGAAUUUAUUCCUUUAUAA
rnacentral:tRNA from 1 species